CGUCCCAUAGCUUAGUUGGUAAAGCAUCGUAUCAAUAAUGCGAAGGCCGAGAGUUCGAGCCUCUCUGGGAUUA